rnacentral:rRNA from 1 species
UGGGGAAUAUUGCGCAAUGGGCGAAAGCCUGACGCAGCAACGCCGCGUGAGUGAUGAAGGUCUUCGGAUCGUAAAGCUCUGUCGGUAGGAAAGAUGGUUUAUGGGAUCAAUACCCCCGUAAGCUGACGGUACCUACAAAGGAAGCACCGGCUAACUCUGUGCCAGCAGCCGCGGUAAGACAGAGGGUGCAAGCGUUGUUCGGAAUCAUUGGGCGUAAAGGGCGCGUAGGCGGUUUGGUAAGUCGGAUGUGAAAGCCCAGGGCUCAACCGUGGAAGAGCAUCCGAAACUACCUGACUAGAGUCCCGGAGAGGGUGGUGGAAUUCCCAGUGUAGAGGUGAAAUUCGUAGAUAUUGGGAGGAACACCGGUGGCGAAGGCGACCACCUGGACGGAGACUGACGCUGAGGCGCGAAAGCGUGGGGAGCAAACAGGAUUAGAUACCCCCGUAGUCC